AUUGCCUCUUGGGCUUUUGGCUAAGAUCAAGUGUAGUAUCCGUUCUUAUCAAUUUAAUAUCUGAUAUGUCCUCUAUCCAAGGACAAUAUCUUUAAUGGAUUUUGGGAGCAGGGAGAUGGAAUAGGCGCUUGCUCCAUCCACAUCACCCAUUAACCUGGUAUUGCAGUAUCUCUAGAAAUGGUACAACCUCC